rnacentral:rRNA from 1 species
UACGAAGGGGGCUAGCGUUGCUCGGAAUCACUGGGCGUAAAGCGCACGUAGGCGGAUUGCUAAGUCAGGGGUGAAAUCCUGGAGCUCAACUCCAGAACUGCCUUUGAUACUGGUGAUCUUGAGUCCGGGAGAGGUGAGUGGAACUGCGAGUGUAGAGGUGAAAUUCGUAGAUAUUCGCAAGAACACCAGUGGCGAAGGCGGCUCACUGGACGACUGUUGACGCUGAGGUGCGAAAGCGUGGGGAGCAACAGGG